GUUAGUCUUGCAUAGAGUUAAGACCUUGAUAAAAUGUGGCCCCAUAAAUCACAUUUCUGAAGAAAUGAAUAGAGUACUUUGAUGAUAGCAUGGUCCAAUGAACAUUUUAGCAUAGAGCUUUAAUUCAUGAUACCAGUAGAGAUGGAGUCACCUAUGGAUUUGAUUUUUAUCACCCUUUUCUAAUUAAAUUUACAUUAACAUUCAGGUUCUUGAAUGAUACAGCAGCAUUCUUAGCUUCGGGUGAUGGAAUGAAAAGGUAAACAUUCAGCAUUUUAAAUAAAAUUUUCUGAUGCACACCCAACCCCUGCUUUCAGGAAAAAAGCAUGUACAUCAUAGUACAUAUGAAAUUUCUAACCUCAUAACACUCCCAACCCCUUUAACUCCACCUAGCAAAGAAAUCCUAGACUGAAACCAUCUCUUGGAGAUAAACCUGAAUCAUGAUAUUGUACAACCACAAGCUCUAUGCUAAGAACAUGAUAGCUUACAAACAUGCCAUGUCAAUAACUAGAUUUCUCCAAUUCAUUCUACCACGACAGAGGCUCAGGGCAAUCAAUCAAGCAAAGACAACAAAGCUUCUGCAUAUCUUCCCACAUUUGAACCCCAUCUUCCCAAAGAUAAUGGCUCUUAGUGUUAAGUGCUCGUGUUUGUACUCAUCCCACAUCCGAACCUCAUCUUCC
rnacentral:lncRNA from 1 species